UACGUAGGUGGCAAGCGUUGUCCGGAUUUAUUGGGUUUAAAGGGUGCGUAGGCGGUCAAAUAAGUCAGUUGUGAAAUACGGCAGCUCAACUGUCGAGGUGCAAUUGAUACUGUUUGACUUGAGUAUUGUUGAGGUAGGCGGAAUGGACGGUGUAGCGGUGAAAUGCUUAGAGAUCGUCCAGAACACCGAUAGCGAAGGCAGCUUACUAGGCUGUAACUGACGCUGAGGCACGAAAGUGUGGGGAUCAAACAGG
rnacentral:rRNA from 1 species